rnacentral:rRNA from 1 species
AGUGAACGCUGGCGGUAGGCCUAACACAUGCAAGUCGAACGGCAGCACAGUAAGAGCUUGCUCUUACGGGUGGCGAGUGGCGGACGGGUGAGGAAUACAUCGGAAUCUACUUUUUCGUGGGGGAUAACGUAGGGAAACUUACGCUAAUACCGCAUACGACCUACGGGUGAAAGCAGGGGAUCUUCGGACCUUGCGCGAUUGAAUUAGCCGAUGUCGGAUUAGCUAGUUGGGGGGGUAAAGGCCCACCAAGGCGACGAUCCGUAGCUGGUCUGAGAGGAUGAUCAGCCACACUGGAACUGAGACACGGUCCAGACUCCUACGGGAGGCAGCAGUGGGGAAUAUUGGGCAAUGGGCGCAAGCCUGAUCCAGCCAUACCGCGUGGGUGAAGAAGGCCUUCGGGUUGUAAAGCCCUUUUGUUGGGAAAGAAAAGAAGCAGGUGAAUACCCCGAUGUUCUGACGGUACCCAAAGAAUAAGCACCGGCUAACUUCGUG